rnacentral:rRNA from 1 species
UACGAAGGGGGAGCUAGCGUUGUUCGGAUUUACUGGGCGUAAAGCGCACGUAGGCGGCUUUGUAAGUUAGAGGUGAAAGCCCAGGGCUCAACCCUGGAAUUGCCUUUAAGACUGCAUCGCUAGAAUUGUGGAGAGGUAAGUGGAAUUCCGAGUGUAGAGGUGAAAUUCGUAGAUAUUCGGAAGAACACCAGUGGCGAAGGCGACUUACUGGACACAUAUUGACGCUGAGGUGCGAAAGCGUGGGGAGCAAACAGG